UGCNCCCNGAGAGGGUUCGGCCCUCGGCUGACGGCUCNNUAACACGUGGAUAAUCUGCCCUUAGGUGGAGGAUAAUCUCGGGAAACUGAGAAUAAUACUCCAUAGAUCUGGGAUGCUGGAAUGCACUCAGAUUGAAAGCUCUGGCGCCUAAGGAUGAGUCUGCGGACUAUCAGGUAGUAGUCAGGGUAAAGACCUGACUAGCCUAUGACGGAUACGGGUUGUGAGAGCAAUAACCCGGAGACGAUAUCUGAGACACGAUAUCGGGCCCUACGGGGUGCAGCAGGCGCGAAAACUUCACACUGUGCGAAAGCACGAUGAGGGGACCCCAAGUGCUUGCUCGUAAGAGUAAGCUGUUUUUUUGUCUAAAACACANAGAGAGUAAGGGCUGGGUAANACGGGUGCCAGCCGCCGCGGUAAUACCUGCAGCUCANGUGGUGACCAUUNUUAUUGGG
rnacentral:rRNA from 1 species